rnacentral:lncRNA from 1 species
CCAGUAUUGAUUUUUAUUGUUCCUGUGAUUGUCAUUGUUGUUGCUUCUUCAUCUUAGAGACAUCAAGGGCAUAGCCAAAAUCAUAGAGAAGCAAUGACCUUCUAAUCCUCAAUGGAGUUAAAUUCCCCCAAAUCCCCAGGGACUGGAACUCAGAUGAAGCUUCAGGAGUUCACAACCUUCUCAGACAUAAAUAAUACAGAUGUCAUCACUAGUGAGGGAGAGCUCAGCUCAGCGGAACCCAACAUAUGAGAUAAUAGGAGACUGCAUCACAGAACACUAGGGCACUGUGUCCACCCACAACAAUGGGUCAGCGACGGACAACACAGUGCAGACUGAGGGGUCAGGGCACGCUUCAUGGAAGAGGGCCAGGCGAGGUGUCCGGCGAGGUGUCACAGCCCUGGCAGUAGAGAGUGGUUCGCUCAUGGGUAGCAAGAAGAAUUUACCAACAACAGCAUAGGCUUGAAAUGGAAUAUCGUAUUAGAUGGAAAGAAACGCUGCAGCCGAGUGCAGAGGGGCAUCUCAGCAAGAGAGGACUAAGUGCACUGCGGUGGAUUGUCCUUCGUGGUAUUGAUGGACCUUUCAGUCUGAUUGAGAUGGGAGGGUUACGCUAGGUUUCUCCGGGUUCUCCAGAUGCAUCUAGAAAGUGACAGGAUUGUGUCAGGAGCUUAAGGGUAAUUUGAACCUGGACUGUAUUAGUUAUGUAGGUCAUGGUAGCUAUUACAUUUGUAGAUGUUUUGGCACCUUGAUGUCAGCAAAGGUUGCAUAAUGGGUUUUGACAUGCAUGCAUUCUGGAGAUGUAUAGAAAUUCCAGUUAUUAUA